CAGCACACAGGACACUGCUGCUAACAAGAGCGUAGGCCUGAAUGCCAGGAACAUGGACUCGCGACAUUCAUUUGCAAAAAGGCAAACAUGGAGGUUUUCGCAUCCAGAAAAUGCUGCAGCUUCUACCAGCACCUUGGUAACAUCUAACAGCAAGGAGCGCAAUGUGUAAUGCCUACUCAAGAUAAGAAGCCACAACCCUGAAAAGGAAUUCUCUGAAUACGAAUCCCACUGUUCUCCUGGCAGCCCUGCCCUGGCUUUGCAGCAACAAGAGCACCAAGCAGCUCAGCCAUGACACCAACUACACUUUGCCAAAGUGGUAGAAAAAGAGUUAGAGAAGCAAGCAGGAGCAGGCUGUGGACAGCCCACGUCUGCUGCAGCACAAGUGUAAGAAAAGAAUAUGAUUUGGACUACUGUAAGCCUUUCACCAUCUCCCUCAAGGAAACUGCUGAAGAUAAAAUUACAAAUGCUUCUCCAGGACCCAGAAUUACAAAGAUGGAUGAACCUGAAGAACCACCAACAGCAGCAGUGAGUUACUUGACUGCAACCAACCCAGCUGCCACAGUGUGACCUGGAGGGUUAGGUCCUCAUCCUCAUAGUCCACAGGGAAGAACCUGGGCGCCUGCAGAGGCAGACGCAGACCAGGCAAGCACCUUCAGCUGCAGUCCUUGGGACAUUGGGCAG
ensembl:lncRNA